rnacentral:snRNA from 1 species
UGAGAACAACAUAUUUGUGGAUUUUUGGAGCAGGGAGAUGGAAUAGGAGCUUGCUACAUUCACUCCACUCAUCGACCUGGUAUUGCAGUACUUCCAGGAAUGGUGUACCCCCA